rnacentral:rRNA from 1 species
UACGGAGGGGGCUAGCGUUGUUCGGAAUUACUGGGCGUAAAGCGCACGUAGGCGGAUUGGAAAGUUGGGGGUGAAAUCCCGGGGCUCAACCCCGGAACUGCCUUCAAAACUCCCAGUCUGGAGGUCGAGAGAGGUGAGUGGAAUUCCGAGUGUAGAGGUGAAAUGCGUAGAGAUCCGGAGGAACACCAGUGGCGAAGGCGACACGCUGGGCCGUACCUGACACUGAUGCGCGACAGCAUGGGGAGCAAACAGG